rnacentral:rRNA from 1 species
UACGGAGGGUGCAAGCGUUGUUCGGAAUUACUGGGCGUAAAGCGCGUGUAGGCGGUCUAGCAAGUCAGAUGUGAAAUCCCUUGGCUCAACCAAGGAAGGGCAUUUGAACCUGCUAGACUUGAGUACGGGAGGGGGAAGCGGAAUUCCCGGUGUAGAGGUGAAAUUCGUAGAUAUCGGGAGGAACACCGGUGGCGAAGGCGGCUUCCUGGACCGAUACUGACGCUGAGACGCGAAAGCGUGGGGAGCAAACAGG